UUACGGCCACAUCACGUUGAAACAACGGAUUCCAUACGAUCAUUGAAGUUAAGCAACGUCGAGCCUGGUUAGCACCUAAAUGGGUGACCACUUGGGAAUAUCAGUUGCUGUAAG